rnacentral:rRNA from 1 species
GACGAACGCUGGCGGCGUGCUUAACACAUGCAAGUCGAACGGAAAGGCCCUGCUUUUGUGGGGUGCUCGAGUGGCGAACGGGUGAGUAACACGUGAGUAACCUGCCCUUGACUUUGGGAUAACUUCAGGAAACUGGGGCUCAUACCGGAUAGGAGCUCCUGCUGCAUGGUGGGGGUUGGAAAGUUUCGGCGGUUGGGGAUGGACUCGAGGCUUAUCAGCUUGUUGGUGGGGUAGUGGCUUACCAAGGCUUUGACGGGUAGCCGGCCUGAGAGGGUGACCGGCCACAUUGGGACUGCGAUACGGCCCAGACUCCUACGGGCGGCAGCAGUGGGGAAUCUGGCACAAUGGGCGGAAGCCUGAUGCAGCAACGCCGCGUGCGGGAUGACGGCCUUCGGGUGGUAAACCGCUUUCGACUGUGACGAAGCGUGAGUGACGGUAAUGGGUAAAGAAGCACCGGCUAACUACGUG